rnacentral:lncRNA from 1 species
CCACCAUGUAUCUGGGAAUUGCCGACAGGAUGCAGAAGGAGAUCACCGCCCUGGCACCCAGCUCCAUGAAGAUCAAGAUCAUCAUGCCCCCAGAGUGCAAGUACUCAGUGUGGAUUGGUGGCUCCAUCCUGGCCUCACUGUCCACCUUCCAGCAGAUGUGGAUUAGCAAGCAGGAGUAUGAUGAGUUGGGCCCCUCCGUCGUCCACCACAAAUGCUUCUAAAUGGACUGUGAACAGAUGUGUAGCAUUUGCUGCAUGGGUUAAUUCAGAAGUAUAAAUUUGCCCUUGGCAAAUGCAUACACCUCAUGCUACCCUCACAAAACUGGAAUAGCCUUCACAAAGAAAUUGUCCUUGAAGGUUGUGUCUGAUAUAAGCACUGGAUUGUAGAACUUGUUGCUGAUUUUGACCUUGUAUUCAAGUUAACUGUUCCCCUUGGUAUUAAUGUG